rnacentral:rRNA from 1 species
CUUACACAUGCAAGUCGACGGGUACGACUCCGUCUUCGGAUGGAGGUCGACGACCGGCGCACGGGUGAGUAACGCGUAUGCGACCUACCUUUUACAGGAGGAUAGCCCAGAGAAAUUUGGAUUAAUACUCCAUAGUACUAAUGAAUCACCUGGUUUAUUAGUUAAAACUCCGGUGGUAAAAGAUGGGCAUGCGUGUCAUUAGCUAGUUGGUAAGGUAACGGCUUACCAAGGCGAAGAUGACUAGGGGUUCUGAGAGGAAGAUCCCCCACACUGGUACUGAGACACGGACCAGACUCCUACGGGAGGCAGCAGUGAGGAAUAUUGGUCAAUGGGUGAGAGCCUGAACCAGCCAUGCCGCGUGAAGGAAGACUGCCCUAUGGGUUGUAAACUUCUUUUCUGCAGGAAGAAAUCACUCUACGUGUAGGGUGUUGCCGGUACUGCAGGAAUAAGCAUCGGCUAACUCCGUGCCAGCAGCCGCGGUAAUACGGAGGAUGCAAGCGUUAUCCGGAUUUAUUGGGUUUAAAGGGUGCGUAGGCGGGCUUGUAAGUCAGUGGUGAAAUGCUGUGGCUUAACCAUAGAAUUGCCAUUGAAACUGCAAGUCUUGAGUACAGUUGAGGUGGGCGGAAUGAGUAAUGUAAGCGGCUGAAAUGCAUAGAUAUUACUCAGAACUCCGAUUGCGUAGGCAGCUUGCUAAACUGUAACUGACGCUGAUGCACGAAAGCGUGGGGAGCGAACAGGAUUAGAUACCCUGGUA